rnacentral:rRNA from 1 species
CCUACGGGAGGCAGCAGUGGGGAAUUUUGGACAAUGGGGGAAACCCUGAUCCAGCCAUCCCGCGUGUGCGAUGAAGGCCUUCGGGUUGUAAAGCACUUUUGGCAGGAAAGAAACGUCAUGGGCUAAUACCCCGUGAAACUGACGGUACCUGCAGAAUAAGCACCGGCUAACUACGUGCCAGCAGCCGCGGUAAUACGUAGGGUGCAAGCGUUAAUCGGAAUUACUGGGCGUAAAGCGUGCGCAGGCGGUUCGGAAAGAAAGAUGUGAAAUCCCAGAGCUUAACUUUGGAACUGCAUUUUUAACUACCGAGCUAGAGUGUGUCAGAGGGAGGUGGAAUUCCGCGUGUAGCAGUGAAAUGCGUAGAUAUGCGGAGGAACACCGAUGGCGAAGGCAGCCUCCUGGGAUAACACUGACGCUCAUGCACGAAAGCGUGGGGAGCAAACAGGAUUAGAUACCCUGGUAGUCCACGCCCUAAACGAUGUCAACUAGCUGGUUGGGCCUUCGGGUCCUUGGUAGCGCGAGCUACGCGUGAGUAGACCGCCGUGGGAGGUACGGUCGCGAGAGUAAACUACAAUAGAGUUAGACGCGUGAGACGUGCCGACGGACGACGACGAGGGAGGAGG